rnacentral:rRNA from 1 species
AUUGAAUGCUGGCGGCAGGCCUAACACAUGCAAGUCGAGCGGUUGAGGUAGCUUGCUACCGAUGCAGCGGCGGACGGGUGAGUAAUACAUGGGAAUCUGCCUGGUAGUGGGGGACAACGUUUCGAAAGGAACGCUAAUACCGCAUACGCCCUACGGGGGAAAGGGGGGAUCGCAAGACCUCUCGCUAUCAGAUGAGCCCA